rnacentral:rRNA from 1 species
AGAUUGAACGCUGGCGGCAUGCCUUACACAUGCAAGUCGAACGGUAGAGUAGCAAUACUCGAGAGUGGCGAACGGGUGAGUAAUAUAUCGGAACGUGCCCAGUCGUGGGGGAUAACGUAGAGAAAUUUACGCUAAUACCGCAUACGAUCUACGGAUGAAAGCGGGGGACUCGCAAGAGCCUCGCGCGAUUGGAGCGGCUGAUAUCAGAUUAGGUUGUUGGUGAGGUAAAAGCUCACCAAGCCGACGAUCUGUAGCUGGUUUGAGAGAACGACCAGCCACACUGGGACUGAGACACGGCCCAGACCUCCGUACGGGAGGCAGCAGGUGGGGAAUUUUGGACAAGUGGGCGAAAGCCUGAUCCAGCAAUGCCGCGUGCGAGGAAGAAGGCCUUCGGUUGUAAACUGCUUUUGUACGGAACGAAAGGCUCUUUCUAAUAAGAGGCCAUGACGGUAACCGUAAGAA